rnacentral:rRNA from 1 species
AGAGUUUGAUCAUGGCUCAGGAUGAACGUUGGCGGCGUGCCUAACACAUGCAAGUCGAACGGAAAUAGCAAUAUUUGAGUGGCGCACGGGUGAGUAACACGUAGCUAAUCUACCUCAAAGCGCGGGAUAACGUGUCGAAAGACAGGCUAAUACCGCAUAAGCUCGCGGGCUGUAGAGGCCUGCGAGAAAAGGCGUAAGUCACUUUGAGAUGAGGCUGCGGCCCAUCAGCUAGUUGGCGUGGUAACAGCACACCAAGGCGACGACGGGUAGGGGACCUGAGAGGGUGACCCCCCACACUGGGACUGAGACACGGCCCAGACUCCUACGGGAGGCAGCAGUGAGGAAUAUUGCACAAUGGGCGCAAGCCUGAUGCAGCGACGCCGCGUGGGUGAAGAAGGUUUUCGGAUCGUAAAACCCUUUUCUGUGUGACGAGCAAGGACGGUAGCACAGGAAUAAGUCUCGGCUAACUACGUGCCAGCAGCCGCGGUAAUAC